rnacentral:rRNA from 1 species
UCGGGAAAGAUUAUAUCGGUAUGGGAUGGGGUCGCGUCCUAUCAGGUAGUCGGCGGGGUAACGGCCCACCGAGCCUACGACGGGUAGCCGGCCUGAGAGGGCGACCGGCCACAUUGGGACUGAGAAACGGCCCAGAUCCUUACGGGAGGCAGCAGUGGGGAAUAUUGCACAAUGGGCGCAAGCCUGAUGCAGCGACGCCGCGUGCGGGAUGACGGCCCUCGGGUUGUAAACCGCUUUUGAUCGGGAGCAAGCCUUCGGGUGAGUGUACCUUUCGAAUAAGCACCGGCUAACUACGUGCCAGCAGCCGCGGUAAUACGUAGGGUGCAAGCGUUAUCCGGAAUUAUUGGGCGUAAAGGGCUCGUAGGCGGUUCGUCGCGUCCGGUGUGAAAGUCCAUCGCUUAACGGUGGAUCUGCGCCGGGUACGGGCGGG